rnacentral:sRNA from 1 species
GGGGAUAAAGAAAUCCAGGUUUAAAAUGUUGUUUAUCUAUUAAUGAGAAUUAGGAAUAGGUCUUUACAUUCUCAUCCCUUUGCCACAAAGUUGUGUGUGUGUGUGUGUGUGUGUGUGUGUGAGAGAGAGAGAGAGAGGUUCUUCUUAAGAACAAUGUGUAGUUAGCAACAAGCUUUCCCCA